AUUGAACGCUGGCGGCAGGCCUAACACAUGCAAGUCGAGCGGACGACGGGAGCUUGCUCCUUGAUUCAGCGGCGGACGGGGGAGUAAUGCCUAGGAAUCUGCCUGGUAGUGGGGGACAACGUUUCGAAAGGAACGCUAAUACCGCAUACGUCCUACGGGAGAAAGCAGGGGACCUUCGGGCCUUGCGCUAUCAGAUGAGCCUAGGUCGGAUUAGCUAGUUGGUGAGGUAAUGGCUCACCAAGGCGACGAUCCGUAACUGGUCUGAGAGGAUGAUCAGUCACAGUGGAACUGAGACACGGUCCAGACUACUACGAGAGGCAGCGGUGGGGAAUCUUGGACAAUGGGCUAAAGCCUGAUCCAGCCAUGCCGCGUGUGUGAAGAAGAUCUUCGGAUUGUAAAGCACUUUAAGUUGGGAGGAAGGGCAGUAAGCUAAUACCUUGCUGUUUUGACGUUACCGACAGAAUAAGCACCGGCUAACUCUGUGCCAGCCGCCGCAGUAAUAC
rnacentral:rRNA from 1 species